UUUAAAAUCCAAACUGACUAGUUAAUGGAAAGAAAAAUGCUAAUUCUAUUUAAAAAAAAAAAAAACUUAUUUAUUCACGUUUAAGUUUAGUUUAGGAGUGUCGAGAGUCGAGACAGCGAGAGGAGAGGGAGAAUCGAGUGCACAGACCUUAUCUUCAUAUAAAGUUUCAGAGAGAGAAGAGACUAGAGAGAGAGAGAGAGAGCAGAAGAGGAACUAUGCCAAUUACUGCAAUGGCCGCAACAACAGCGAGUCGGUUGCUUAUUAUUAUUCCAGUACACUGCUCUAAUUCAACCCCAAGACGCGGUUUUGGAACCAAAAAGAACACCAACAAGGUACCCACGAAAUCAACAGCUAAAAAGUCUGGUCCUGUACCUCCUAAGGCACCUGGUUUAAGUUCUCGAUUUGAUGGGAAAUCUAACAACAAUUCAUUGGACCGUCAGUUUGAGGAGCGGCUGGAAGCUGUUAGAAGGUUAGCACUUGAGCAGAAAAAAGCAGACGAAGAAAAAGAAUUUGGAGCAAUAGACUAUGAUGCACCAGUUGAGUCAGAGAAGAAAACAAUUGGACUUGGUACCAAGAUUGGAGUCGGAGUAGCUGUCUUGGCCUUUGGUUUGGUUUUUGCGCUCGGAGACUUUCUUCCCUCUGGAAGUGUUAGUCCCACUGAGGAAGGCAAGGUGGUUAAUAAUCUGUCGGAAGAAGACAAAGCUACUCUUCAGGCUAGGCUUAAAGAUUAUGAGGAAAUGCUUGGUAAAUCCCCGAAAGAUCCAGUUGCUCUUGAAGGAGCUGCAGUGACCUUGGUAGAAUUAGGAAAUUAUAAUCAAGCUUCCUCUCUGCUUGAGGACUUGACAAAGGAGAAACCAAGUGACCCUGAUGUUUUCCGCUUGCUUGGAGAAGUUAAAUAUGAACUCAAGGAUUAUGACGGGAGUGCUACCGCAUAUAAGACUUCACAGAUGGUGUCUAAAGACAUCAAUUUUGAAAUUCUGCGUGGCCUUACAAAUGCAUUACUUGCUGCUAAGAAACCAGAUGAGGCAGUUCAAUUCCUUCUGGCAUCUCGAGAACGUUUGAAUUCACAAAUUUCCAAUGGUAAGGCUGAAGAAACAAAUUUGCUGCAGGUGGACCCUGUUCAAUGUGUUUGUGGUGAGAUGUUAUUUCAGAUUUACUUCUUGGCAAAGCGUAUUCUGAUUGGGGUCAUAUCAACGAUGCUGUAUCUGUCUACGAUCGCCUCAUCUCAAGUCACCCUGAUGACUUCCGUGGUUACUUAGCUAAGGGAAUCAUUUUGAAAGAAAAUGGUAAGGUUGGAGAUGCAGAGAGAAUGUUUAUACAAGCACGGUUCUUUGCACCAGAGAACGCCAAGGCACUGGUAGAUCGUUUUGCUAGACAGUAACUGAUCUUCGUUCGGUUGGGAAUUAUUUACCUCAGGAGCAUAAACUUUACGCCAAGGCCCUCAACGGAGUUCAAUUUUCUUCAACCUCUAUAUUGUAUUGAUUGUUAGGACUGGCUAAUGAGAAUUAGGCCAGACCUGAUUUUGCCCGUUAACAGGAUUUUCCAUGUUAGACUGUGAAUGAAAACAAACAAAAAUCACGAAAUCUAUAAGAUGUAUAUUUCACUAGUAGUCACAGCAAAAUUCGAAAGAAAUGAAAUAUGAUUCCUCCAUUCUGAAGUA